UUUUAUUUAUACUAGGAAUGGGUAGGUUAGAUGGACGGGCAGCCUGAGGCCACGUGGGGUCUGGGAUUGGCUGUCCAAGACACGGUGCACUUGUGGGUUCUACCUUUGGUUAUAUUUGGAACAGCGUUGAAAAAGUGAAGUCUUUGAGUGAAAUAGAGUUUGGUUAUUUACCUGGAUACCCUGGUCUUCAAGCAGGAACAUUUGCCAUCCUUGUUUGGAGAUAAUCAAGGACGGAAAUGUUGCCAAUACAAAGAGCUGGGGUUGUUUUAUAAAUUCAUUUGAUGAUUUGGAAGCUGAAUAUGUUCAAUGGUUGAAGACACAUGUAGGUCAUAAUCGUGUUUUCAGUGUUGGACCACUAAGUUUGGUAGGCCCUGAUGUAUCGGAUCGGGGCAAUUUAGGUUCUGUGUCUGACAUAAAUGUCGAGGUCUUGACUUGGCUUGAUCGAUGUCCUGAUGGUUCAGUUGUUUAUGUUUGCCUCGGGAGCCAAAAGCUGUUGAGAAAAGAACAAAUGGAAGCCUUGGCUAAAGGACUUGAAAAGAGUGGCACACGAUUUAUCUGGUGGUGAAUUCGGGCACAACUCAACAGCAGGUCGAAGGGUUCGGAGUAGUACACGAUAGGUUCGAGCAACGAACCGCAGGUCAAGAUUUGAUGAUAAAAGAGUGGGCACCCAAUGGGGUUGUUUUAUAAAUUCGCUUGAUGACUGAAGGUGAAGGCAUGAAGGCCAAGGCAAAAGAUCUCAAAUAGAAGGCUUUGGCAGCAGUGAGUCAUGGGGGAAAACUCCAUGAAUGAUUUGGAUAGAUUUGUGGAACAACUGGGUCAACUUGGAGGGUGAUAAAUCCUUUUGUUUUAUCAGAGUGAUAUGGGGCAGAAUGCUGCUUCAACACAAUGUCUACUUUUUAAUUUAUUGUUAAUUUCGUUAAUUAGAUGUUUUGUUAACGUUUGUUUAAUUGAUGCAGAAACUGUGUGUUUUGAUUAGUGAAAUGAUGUGUGUAAAGAAUAGCUAAAACACAUCGUUUCAAUCCUAGCUCAAUAAGUAAAAUGAUGCGUAGCUGAUAACUGUUUUGACAGCUAUUUUUUGGUUAUUUCCUUGUACCCGUCGCUUGUCCCUAUUUGAGCACCAACGAGGCUCAAAGAACGGUUAUGAAUGAACAAGCUGGAAUUUUAGCCU